rnacentral:rRNA from 1 species
UACGGGGGGGGCAAGCGUUGUUCGGAAUUAUUGGGCGUAAAGCGCGUGUAGGCGGCUUUGCAAGUCGGGUGUGAAAGCCCUCGGCUCAACCGAGGAAGUGCGCCCGAAACUGCAGAGCUUGAGUACCGGAGAGGAUGGCGGAAUUCCCCAAGUAGAGGUGAAAUUCGUAGAUAUGGGGAGGAACACCGGUGGCGAAGGCGGCCAUCUGGACGGAUACUGACGCUGAGACGCGAAAGCGUGGGGAGCAAAAGGG